rnacentral:rRNA from 1 species
UACGUAGGGUGCGAGCGUUGUCCGGAAUUAUUGGGCGUAAAGAGCUUGUAGGCGGUCUGUCGCGUCUGCUGUGAAAAUCCGGGGCUCAACCCCGGACUUGCAGUGGGUACGGGCAGACUAGAGUGUGGUAGGGGAGACUGGAAUUCCGGGUGUAGCGGUGGAAUGCGUAGAUAUCCGGAAGAACACCGGAGGCGAAGGCGGCUUGCUGGACCUGGUCUGACGCUGAGGCGCGAAAGCGUGGGGAGCGAACAGG